rnacentral:lncRNA from 1 species
GAGCGUACAUCCUUAAUUAUCAGAAUUUUUGUUUUAUAUUUUAAAAUAUUUUUUCCUCAUAUAUGUAUAUAAAAGAGGGGAUGUUUUAUUGUUAAACAUAUAGUUCAGUUACACCUCAAGGUAAGUCUACAUGUACAACUUUAAAUGAAUGUAGCUAAUGUCGGCAAUGUUAUGCAGAAUGGAAAGAACUUACAUUCAUAAUAUAUUUGUAAUUGGAAAGUAAAGUAGAUUCAUUCAAAACUUUGCAGAUGAUUUUUUGAAGUUUUUGUAAGUGGCAUGUCGCCCCGAUUUGUCUUUGUUCUUCUCGUUUUAUCAUACGAGUGUCUAUUUUGUUUUGGCGUUAUAUGUGUUUUUCAAAUCCUAUCUUGAUCCACAUUUCUGGAUCAUGAGGCGAUUAUUUUUUAAAAGACCAGCUCAGAUUUUGAUAUGUUUGAUAUAUCUCGCCUGUCUGGCUGUGUUGAUAUAUGUUUGACUUCGAGCUUUAUUGAGCCAAUAUACGAAAACAGUUUACUUUAAAUUCCCGCCACUAGAGUUUUUAUCAAGGUAUGUGGCUCUUUUUACGGGUGGUAGUUGCUUUAAACAUUGGAAAAUAGAGCGAGAUACUGAUUUCUGUACACAAAAAAAGCUAUGAGAUUUGAAUUUUAUUGUUUCAUCGCUAUUUUUUCAAAUUCAACAUGGUCAAAUGGAAAUCUUUCAAGCAUAUGCAGGACGAUGACAAAUUAAACAAAUUCUUUUAAAUACGUUCACUGGUAACCAAUUUUGGUCCGAAAAGGUCAUUUUGAUAUGAUCAGCUCUUAUAUAUAUCAUAUAUUUAUUUUUCAGUUUAUCAUUUAAUUUCAGACUUACCAACAUCAGUCAAUUCAGUACUGUUCAGACAAUUUAACUCUACACACUAACAUCGUUCUGAAUUGAAUUAAAAUCUACUUAUCAGUACUCAUUUUGCUGAAUGAUAGAUGUCUUUAAAAAGAAAAAAAUACAUUUUUACUUCGUAUGACACCAGUCUUCUGCAUUGAUAUCCCAGGAUCCGUCCAGGCAAAAAAUUGGUACUAAUAAUGUAUUAACUGUAAUUGGCCUGAAAUUCUUUAGAUUGUUGAUUGAAAUUCUAUUCGAUUGUCUUUAUACUUAAUUCAUAUAGAUCAGUAUUGUGCAUCAAUGUCUUUAUUAAAAUUGAGAAUGGAAAUUGAGAAUGCGUCAAAGAGACAACAACCCGACAAAAGAGCAUAAAACAGCCCAAGGCUACCAAUAUGUUUUCAACACAGCGAGAAAAUGUUGACCUUGAAGCCGGCUUCAGCUUGCCCAUAAUAAAAAUAUGUACUAGCUCCGUGAAAAUGGAUGUCACCAAAACUAAUUUGAUUAUAUUAUCAUCAAUAUUGUUUUUUAUUGUGUUUUUCAUCAAUGGCUCUCAGCAUUGUAUUUUAUAGUGAAAGGAAUUAUUGUGUUUUACUGAAGUGAUAUAACGAAGACACUAUGAAGAAACUGCUGUUGAUUGUCUUAAUACUGUUCAUAUCUAUAGGUAAUAUUUCUGGAUAAUCUCUUAGAUCAAUUCAUUCGUUUUUAUGUAUAUCCAUAUCGAAAUACUCGUAAAACAACACGAGGUUGCACGUGAUGUCUUCAAAAUAAUGUUAGUUAUUAGUCGAUUACGAAAAUAAGGUUUAGUAGGCAGUACUAAGUAUUGUUUAUAAAGCUAGAAUCUUGUUAUCUGAUUGUUUAAUUACCCGGAUGUUGAUAUUCCAUGACAGAUUCCCCGGGGAUAAAAUUUUGCUUAAAAUAUUUUAUAAAAUUAAUAAGGCAAUGCAAAAUUAUAAAUAAGAAUAAAAUUUUGAGACAAUUGAAAAAGAAUGAAUAGAUUUUACUUAUUUUAUUUUCCAAAAAAAAAUAAAAAACAUGUCUUCAAUUAUUUUCUUCAAAAUAAAGAAGGAAGAUUUUAAGACGUGCAGCAACAUCGGUGUUGAUAACAUUGGUAGUGGAAGUUUUUCAUUACAAUUGUAUUCCCACGAAAACAAAAUCCCAUAAGUAUAAUUAUGCGUAAUUGGAAAUGAAGGGAAAAUAUAGAUAAACCAAGCCACAAAGUUUCAUAAGGUUUUCUUGACUUAUAGAAAAAAAUCAUUACAAAGUUAAUAGAUUCUAAAAUUAUAUUUUUUACCGAAAUGGUAUCAAUAUUGUCUUAACAGUAAAAAUACAUUAGCAAUGUUUAAUUUUUUCCGCACAUAUUCCUAACAUUCUCAUUUUGUCACUAUACAUUUUCAACAUUCUGAUUUUUCCUAACAAAUCCUUUAAAUCAUUAUUUGGUUUGUCUUUCAUUGUUUGAAACAUUUAAAUUGACUUGGUUAUCUUAUUUUACGAUGUUUGACAAUCUUCAAACGAUACUAUUAUCGGGUUCAUACAAAUGAAUAAUAUUUAGUUUUUUCGACCCUUCAUUUUAUCUUUUUUCGGGGAUGGUAUUGGGACUUACAAUUUUGUUCGAAUUCUAAUUAUUUCUGUAUCUGGUUGAAUCGACACCUGGUCAAAUGUGCACAGGGACAGUCAAUUCAGAACCUGGUUUAUUCGGCUACAAAUGUAGUUAUUACAACACCAUGACUAGUAUUAUGUUUUGCAAAGUAAACUAUUGAAGGCGCCGUUUUUUACCAUAUUUUUACGCUAUUUUUGCUUGAGGUUUCAGCGUAUAUUUUCACACAAGCAAGAAGUUCCAAUGGAAACUUUGUUAGAAAACAUUUCGUAGUAUCUGUUUCUACUGGAACUUAAAUUAUCAAGGAAUUUCCAUUUCAUGACAACUGUACAUUGCAAGUAAACAUACAAAAUUGGUGCCAGUGACAUUCUUAUUAUAUAAGUAGAUAGUCCUUGCAGGAGAGAACACAAAUUUGAAAUACAAUGAUUAAAUUCGCUUUCAUCCUAAUGUUAGGUUCAACAAUGGCUUGGGUUAUUGUAUUUAUAAUUUUAAACCAUAUGUUUUAAAAUGAUACCCAAUCAAACUUAAUGAAUAAAAUAUUGAGAAAACUUCUAAGAGCAAACAACUGAUCAUUUUCAUUAUGUAUUAUAACUGCUCAAUUACAUAUGCCCUUGGAUUUUUUAACGAUGUAGGAGGUUUUUUUUUUUAAUUAUACAUAUUUUGAUAUGAGCGUCACUGAUGAGUCUUAUGUAGACGAAACGCGCGUCUGGCGUUCUAAGUUAUAAUCCUGGUACUUUUGAUAACUAUUUACAUCCCUGGGUUGAUGCCACUGCUGGUGGACGUUUCGUCCCCGAGGGAAUCACCAGUCCAGUAGUCAACAUUUUUGUGUUGACAUGAAUAUCAAUAAUGAGGUCAUUUUUUAUAAAUUUCCUGUUUACAAAACUUAAAAUUUUUUCGAAAACUGAAGAUUUUCUUAUCCAAGGCAAAUUGCCUUUACCGUAUUUGGCACCACUUUUUGAAAUUUGGAUCCUCAAUGCUCUUUAACUUUGUGUUUGUUUGGCUUUAUAAAUAUUUUGAUAUGAGCGUCAAUGAUGAGUCUUAUGUAAACGAAACGCGCGUCUGGCGUAUUAAAUUAUAAUCCUGGUAUCUUUGAUAACUAUUUAAUUAACCUCGGCGAAACAAAAUAAAUAUAUAUAAAAAAAAAGCGAAAACUAUCCUCCACAUAUCUCAGAAAAAUAAUAAAAGAAAAAAGAAAAAUAUUUGCAGCCAAAUUAACUAACCAAAUUUCAAAAUAACUUUCAAUAGGUAUCGAUUUAAAAAGGACCGAUUUGGCUACUUCUAUAGGUACCAAAUUGAUCAGGUGCCGAUUUGAUUUGUACCCUUUUUUUCGAAUUUAAUGAGUAUUGAUUUGUUUUGAAUAAAAUCAUCGUAUUAUUCAUAUUGUUCAAUGAUAUACUAAGUAUUUACAGAACAUGAGUUUCAAAUGUUUGAAAAAAAAUCUUCAAGGUAAAUUUAAACAGUUGACGUCCAUAAAAACAAAUAAGUCGAACGCUCGACUAUAACAAACGACCGACUGGAAAACAACAGUCAUAUUCAGGACUCAUUUAUUGAAUAGAAUGGUUGGUCAAAUCUGGUUAUAUAAACCAGGUUUUAUAGUUGUUUCCAUUUGUUUUUUUAGUCGAAUAAACUAGGUAUUAUAGCGCUAGACCGCCUUCUUGUAUGACAGAUUCAUACUUCCGCACCAAAUCUCUAUUCUUAAAAUGAAAUUUAGUAAACGAUUAAGCCAAUUGGUGAUAUUGCUUAAUUUCGUGUAACGUUUAUAUUCUAACUAAAUGAUAACGUUAAAAUUCAGAAUUAUUAAGGUAAUAGGACAUUUGUUUUCCAUAAGUUUCAUGUGUUUGAGGUUUUGAUAUUGCCAUUUGAUAAGGACCUUUUGAUCUUGACUUUUCCUUGGAGUAUAUUUUGUUAUUUCAUUUUUUACACACUCAAUGAAUAGCCUUAAAAGGCUUUUCGAUAGUUGAAAAAAGAUCACCGAAUGCGACAUUUGUCAUUGUGGACCAAUAUGAUUCAUUGAUUCUUUCUAGUAACGAUAAACUUAUGAAGAUCGAAAAAAAUUCUCAAUUACUAAAAAAAACAUAUUAUUCAAUUUAUCAUUGCAUUGUUUUCACUUCAGAUAUUGUGCAUGCUUGUGCUUGUGCUGCUGUGUGGGAUCCAGUUUGCUCCACUGCUGGUAAUACACACAGUAAUGAAGGAUGCAUGAUUUGCGCGUAAGUUUUAUUUACAAUACCGACAAAACUAUUAUUAACUUCAAAUGUGUAUAUCAUUUUACCAUAACAAGUUUGUAUUUGAUAUUUUCGGUCAGACGUGACAUAUAUUCAGUUUUGAAUUUUCCUUGGAGUUCGGUAUGCUUGUUAUUAUGCUUUUUUUAGCAACCAGAGAACAAUUGAUUACUGAAUACAGAAAUUGUUCAAAUGGAAUACAGAAAGAAGUCUUCGAUUCACAAGAAAAUUUUGAUAACUUUAACACUUAUUAUAGAAAUAAGAAGAUGUUGUAUGAUUGACAAUGAGACUAUUCUCCACAAGAGACCAAAUAAAACAGAAAUUAAUAGAUGUAGGUCACCGUAGAGCCUUUAGUUAUAAACCUCAUACCGGAUAGUCAGAUAUUGAUGACAAAUGUUAUCAAACCAAAGAAGAAAACUAAGCGCAUGAUUUAUGUACAAAAUAGUGAACGAAAGACACAUAUGAUAUGCAGCAACAAACAACAACCACGAAAAUAAUGUCCUGGUAAAUAUGUUUUUCCCACCAUUUGAAAGUGACAUACCUACAUAGAUAUAUGAUUAUGCAUAUAUAUUUGACAUUGUAUGUUGGAACAGGUCUAGUAAUUAUUGUACCUUAUCAAUGUAAUCUCCUCCUUUUUUAUUUCACUUUGAUUUCUGACUUUCCAAAUUUAGUUUAUAUGAGAUUUGAACAUUGAAUUGUUAACUAUUAUUGCCAAAUAUUAAAAACUAUUAUGAACGCUAAAUCAAAGUCUUGUUACUUUAUUGCCAAUUUUACUCAAUAAUCAAAUAAAAUAUAACUUAAGUAAACAGCUGUUAAUUCCCAGACAAAACCCUACCCUCAUAUGAACAAAUAUUACCACAGAGAUUGACAGCUUUGCCAUUAACUGAUCAAUUCUUAUAAGUUUACCACUAAGCCCCCCUUCCAUUAUACGUCUCACCAUAUUUUGAAAUAUAUUUCUUUUUCUUAAAAAUUAAAUUUCUACAUAUUGAAUUGUAAAUUGAUUUGAACAUUACAUGGUAAAAAAUAUAACAUAAAACUUAAAACUAAGGAAUGCAGUUCGUGCCUCAAACAGUUCAGUCAGAUAGUGUAAUCGCCAUUUGUGUUUCUAAAAUAAAAAAAAUCUAAUAUUUAUAGUUUUUAAUUAAUGAAUUCAUUUAUUCGAAUCUCGGCGAAGGAAGCAUUUGCAGAUUUAACAUUGGUGUGCUGAGUAAUUUUGGGUUUUCAUCCAUGUUUCAUCCUAACUAGUGUGCAAUGGAAUCCCGGCGAUCGCGAGAGAAGAAGUAAAGUUUGUUUCCGCAAACGUGCAGGUUUUACAUUGUUGGUCUGAUAUUUUGAGUCAUUAGGAAUAUAAUAUGUGUUUUCAACCGUGUAUUACUUUCACUUAUAAUCAGAUGGAUGUAUCUGUCGUAGAGUUGUCACUUGUUUAGACGUAAUUUUGACUAAUUUUGUCCACGCUGUUCAUAAAAUGGAAAAAAAGGCUGAAAUUGCACUCAAUAUUUAUAUUCAAUAUGAAUAUUUACAUGUUGUCUAUCAAGACAUCAAAAAGUUUUACAUGUGCAUCGGAAAAUCAUGUUUAUAUCAUCACUUGCAGUGGUUGUUGAGAAAAUUAUAUUGGACAAACCAGCAACACCAUUAGAAAAAUGAAUUAUAGUACAUACACAGAAAAUUCGAGUCCCGCAUACAAAUAUGUAUGUAAUAAAAAUCAAAAGCAUUGGUCUCAAAAUAUGUUAAAGUAGAGUAAGCCAAGAAAUGAAUAAGUUUCAUCAAACUAGUCGUGAUAGACGUCGAACAUUUGAAAUACUUUUAGAACUAGUAUUUGACAGACUUCGGAAAUUUGAAAUUCCUCAAGAACUAGUCUUUGACAGACUUCGAUCAUUUGAAAUUUUUUAAUUUAUAUUUCAGCGGAGAAGUGUUAGCUUGCCACCAUGCAUGUCCAUGUUAACAUGAAAGUCGUAACGAAAGGGACAGAAGUAAGUUUAAACAUUGUAGUGAAAGAUAUGUUUUAAUAUUAGAUUGUGUUGCACAGAUAACAUCAGUUCUACAUUACAGAGGAUUUUAACAGAACAAAACAAAUGAAAAACAGUGUACUCAAUGAGAGAAAAGUUCUCUAAAUAGCACACACUUCACACUAUUUGUUUGUCAAAUAUGAACUUUCCUCACAUCUGGAGUAAUAAAUCUACUCUAAAACUUUUAAAAAGGGACAGGUAUCUUUAGCACAAUUUGAGAUAUGAAAAUCACGCAGUUUUACGAUCUAGUCAUUGUGGUAUCCUCCAAUUUAUAUAGUAUAUAUGGUUUAAUCUUUCAGAUUUCAGUGAUAACGUAUAUUUUCCUUUGUGCAUUCUUGCAAUAAUAAAAAUUGAAACAAAAAAACUUUGGACAAAAAAACUUUCUGAAGGAAAUAUAUAAUGAAUGGAUUGAAUCAUUAUCGACGAUGAAGAUCAACUAAAACAACAGAAAUUUGUUGAAGUGAUCGAUCUGGUGAUAAGUGAAUACUUUAUAGUGCCUUUUCCUAUGGAACUUAAUGAUUGGGGUGGAUUGAUUGAAUAAUUGACUGAUUGGUGUUUAACGCCAUGUGUAGGACUAUUACGCUAUUUUGUGACGGUCAGUCUUUAUUGGCGGAGAAAACCGGGUUGUUCGGCGCUAAACAUCGACUCACAAUCCUAGUGAAUUGCGAUCUAGUCGAUCACAUCUAUUACGUGCAGAACUCUAACUCACAACCUCGGUCUUGACAGGCUAGAGAUACAGUUGUCCGAUUACUUAGACUAAUCAGCCACCGAGGCCCCGGUGUUGAUUUAUGUUUAACUAUGGAAGAGGCAAAUGACCAUGUUGCGUCGUGUGUUAAAAAAAAUACGUACGUUUUAGACCUUUUUUCAAAUGUAACAAGACCAUUGAGAACGUAUCACUUGUUUUGUGAAGGUUUUUUUUUUGUUGAUUCUUUUUCUUUUUGUUUUCAAGAUAUUUUGUUAUUUUACAUGUAAUCAACAACUAUUCAGUCAUUUGAUCGACAGUUAUAAGUUGUGCAAUGCUAUUUCCUUAAAACUAAUCCAUUUUACAUUUUUAUUUCAGCACUAAGUGAGAUUGAAUAAUAUAUUUGAUAUAUUAUAAAAUAUCAAAGAAUAAAACAAAAUUUCAC